AUUGAACGCUGGCGGCAUGCCUUACACAUGCAAGUCGAACGGCAGCACGGGAGCUUGCUCCUGGUGGCGAGUGGCGAACGGGUGAGUAAUACAUCGGAACGUACCCUGAAGUGGGGGAUAACGUAGCGAAAGUUACGCUAAUACCGCAUAUUCUGUGAGCAGGAAAGAGGGGGAUCGCAAGACCUCUUGCUUUAGGAGCGGCCGAUGUCGGAUUAGCUAGUUGGUGAGGUAAAGGCUCACCAAGGCGACGAUCCGUAGCGGGUCUGAGAGGAUGAUCCGCCACACUGGGACUGAGACACGGCCCAGACUCCUACGGGAGGCAGCAGUGGGGAAUUUUGGACAAUGGGCGCAAGCCUGAUCCAGCCAUGCCGCGUGAGUGAAGAAGGCCUGGUUGGUUAAA
rnacentral:rRNA from 1 species